AGAGUUGAUCAUGGCUCAGGAUGAACGCUAGCUACAGGCUUAACACAUGCAAGUCGAGGGGCAGCAUGGUCAAGCUUGCUUGAUGAUGGCGACCGGCGCACGGGUGAGUAACGCGUAUCCAACCUUCCCCUUAGUAGGGCAUAGCCCGGCGAAAGUCGGAUUAAUACCCUAUGUUAUUCGUCGAGGACAUCUGAAGUGAAUCAAAGAUUUAUCGCUAAGGGAUGGGGAUGCGUCUGAUUAGGUUGUUGGCGGGUAACGGCCCACCAAGCCAUCGAUCAGUAGGGGUUCUGAGAGGAAGGUCCCCCCACAUUGGUACUGAGACACGGACCAAACUCCUACGGGAGGCAGCAGUGAGGAAUAUUGGUCAAUGGGCGAGAGCCUGAACCAGCCAAGUAGCGUGCAGGAUGACUGCCCUAUGGGUUGUAAACUGCUUUUAUACGGGGAUAAAGUGAGGUAUGCAUACCUUUUUGUAGGUACCGUAUGAAUAAGGACCGGCUAAUUCCGUGCCAGCCGCUGC
rnacentral:rRNA from 1 species